AGAGUUUGAUUCUGGCUCAGGAUGAACGCUGGCGGCGUGCUUAACACAUGCAAGUCGAACGGAGAUACUUUUAGCUUGCUAAGUUGUAAUCUUAGUGGCGGACGGGUGAGUAACGCGUGGGUAACCUGCCUUAUACCGGGGGACAACAGUUGGAAACGACUGCUAAUACCGCAUAAGCGCACGGGAAGGCAUCUUUCUGUGUGAAAAAACUCCGGUGGUAUAAGAUGGACCCGCGUCUGAUUAGCCAGUUGGCGGUGUAACGGACCACCAAAGCGACGAUCAGUAGCCGGCCUGAGAGGGCAAACGGCCACAUUGGGACUGAGACACGGCCCAAACUCCUACGGGAGGCAGCAGUGGGGAAUAUUGCACAAUGGAGGAAACUCUGAUGCCAGCGACGCCGCGUGAGUGAAGAAGUAUUUCGGUAUGUAAAGCUCUAUCAGCAGGAAAGAAAAUGACGGUACCUGACUAAGAAGCCCCGGCUAACUACGUGCCAGCAGCCGC
rnacentral:rRNA from 1 species